rnacentral:rRNA from 1 species
AGGACGAACGCUGGCGGCGUGCUUAACACAUGCAAGUCGAGCGGAAAGGCCCUUCGGGGUACUCGAGCGGCGAACGGGUGAGUAACACGUGAGCAACCUGCCCUUAGCUCUGGGAUAGCUCCGGGAAACCGGAAUUAAUACCGGAUACGACCUAGGCCGACAUCGGCCAUGGUGGAAAGUUUUCGGCUAGGGAUGGACUCGCGACCUAUCAGCUAGUUGGUGGGGUAAAGGCCUACCAAGGCGACGACGGGUA